GGGGAAACAACAUACAUUCUCACAGGGGAACAAACAACAUACAUUCUCACAAGAAACAACAUACAUUCUCACAGAAAAACAAACGACAUACAUUCUCACAGGGGAAACAACAUACAUUCUCACAGGGGAAUAAACAACAUAUAUUCUCACAGGGAAACAACAUACAUUCUCACAGGGGAACAAACAACAUACAUUCUCACAGGGAAACAACAUAUAUUCUCACAGGGGAAACAAACAACAUACAUUCUCACAGGGGAACAAACAACAUACAUUCUCACAGGGGAAACAACAUACAUUCUCACAGGGGAAACAACAUACAUUCUCACAGGGGAACAAACAACAUACAUUCCCACAGGGGAAAAAACAUACAUUCUCACAGGGGAACAAACAACAUACAUUCUCACAGGGAAACAACAUACAUUCUCACAGGGGAAACAACAUACAUUCUCACAGGGGAAACAAACAACAUACAUUCUCACAGGGGAACAAACAACAUACAUUCUCACAGGGGAAACAACAUACAUUCUCACAGGGGAAACAACAUACAUUCUCACAGGGGAACAAACAACAUACAUUCUCACAGGGAAACAACAUAUAUUCUCACAGGGAAACAACAUACAUUCUCACAGGGGAACAAACAACAUACAUUCUCACAGGGAAACAACAUACAUUCUCACAGGGGAACAAACAACAUACAUUCUCACAGGGAAACAACAUACAUUCUCACAGGGGAACAAACAACAUACAUUCUCACAGGGAAACAACAUACACUCUCACAGAAAAACAAACAACAUACAUUCUCACAGGGGAACAAACAACAUACAUUCUCACAGGGGAAACAAACAACAUACAUUCUCAUAGGGAAACAACAUACAUUCUCACAGAAAAACAAACAACAUACAUUCUCACAGGGGAAACAAACAACAUACAUUCUCAUAGGGAAACAACAUACAUUCUCACAGAAAAACAACAUACAUUCUCACAGGGGAACAAACAACAUACCUUCUCACAGGGGAAACCACAUACAUUCUCACAGGGGAAACAACAUACAUUCUCACAGGGGAAACAACAUACAUUCUCACAAGGGAACAAACAACAUACAUUCUCACAAGGGAACAAACAACAUACAUUCUCACAGGGGAAACAAACAACAUACAUUCUCAUAGGGAAACAACAUACAUUCUCACAGAAAAACAAACAACAUACAUUCUCACAGGGGAACAAACAACAUACAUUCUCACAGGGGAAACAAACAACAUACAUUCUCAUAGGGAAACAAACAACAUACAUUCUCACAGGGAAACAACGUACAUUCUCACAGGGGAAACAACAUACAUUCUCACAGGGGAACAAACAACAUACAUUCUCACAGGGGAAACAAACAACAUACAUUCUCACAGGGAAACAACGUACAUUCUCACAGGGGAAACAACAUACAUUCUCACAGGGGAACAAACAACAUACAUUCUCACAGGGAAACAACGUACAUUCUCACAGGGGAACAAACAACAUACAUUCUCACAGGGGAAACAAACAACAUACAUUCUCACAGGGGAACAAACAACAUACAUUCUCACAGAGAAACAACAUACAUUCUCACAGGGGAACAAACAACAUACAUUCUCACAGGGGAACAAACAACAUACAUUCUCACAGGGGAAACCACAUACAUUCUCACAGGGGAACAAACAACAUACAUUCUCACAGGGGAAACCACAUACAUUCUCACAGGGAAACAACGUACAUUCUCACAGGGAAACAAACAACAUCCAUUCUUACAGAGGAAACCACAUACAGUCUCACAGGGGAACAAACAACAUAAAAUAGAUGAGUAAAAUAAGAAAACAGAGGGGAAUGAGGGGGAUGGGAGUGUGAUGAGGGCAGGCACUGAGAUUUCAGGAAUGGCUUGAGUGAAAAGAGGUUAGGAAAGUGGCCGUCUGAGGGAGGCCUAUUCUAGCAGAGGGAACAGCUAGAGCCAAAGCCCUGAGAUGGGAGUGUACUUGGCAUGUUCAAGAAACAGAAAGGAGGCCAGCAUGGCUGGAGCAGGGCAAGCUUCAGGGGCAAACAGGAGAAGGGUCUGAGAGGGACCAGAGGCCACAUCAUAUGAGGAUUUUUUGGCCUUUUCCAGGUAUGGGUUCCUCAAACUUCCUAUCCAAUUAGCCUUGGAAGAUGGGUGUGUGUGUGCAUGUGUGUGCGUGCAUGCAUGUGUGGGUGCACGUGUGCAUGUGUGUAAAUUUCUUCCCUUUCUCAUUAGAUACAUUACCUUGAGGUCCUGCAGUCACCUCAAAGCAGUAGGUGUGAAACAGAAUUCCCCAACCAUUCAGAGCUAUCCUUCCUCCUCUACUUUCCCUCUCUGUUAAGAGCAUAAACUUCUACCCCACUAAACAAGCUAGAAUCUUCUCUCUCAUUCCCCAGAGUCCUACCAAUUCUUCUCCCACCUGACUCCUGAAUUCACUCCCUCUUCCCCAUCCCCAUCCCCACUGCCUCUGCCACUGUCAUCUCCUGCCACAACCUUUUACAGCCAUCUGCCUCCAGUUUCUCCUUUCUUAGCUGUCAGACUGACCUCUCCCAAACCUCAGUUAGAUUCCAUAACUCCCCUGCUUAAAACCCUCUGUGGCUCCUCACUGGCCAUGGGACAAAGCCCUCACUCAUUAGGGUGGCUCCCAGGCCCUUCUCCAUCUGACUCCUGACCACGUUUGUGGUCUCAUCUCCAUCAUCCCAGCCACCAGCCACCAUAGACAAUCACCAUCUCGGGAAACACUUUGCAUUUUUAUGCCUUCGUGGAUGCGAUUUCUAAAUCUUGAAAACUCCC
ensembl:lncRNA